UUAUAACAUUGGGUUCUUUGCUGCAAUGGCAUUUUCAUUUGGCAUUUUUGUUCUGAAUUUGUUGUGUCCGAAUGGCUAACAGAAAGGUUGUAAGGAGGUAGCCAGAGUUGGCAUAUUAUAUGCUGUAAGCUAAAACUCUGAAAUGUACAGUAGUGUAAAAUAGUGGGGAGGUGUUAUUAUGAGCAGAGAUAAGGGAAACUAGGCUCAAAUUGAUGGAUUUAUUUGCUCUUUUUACUAGUUCCUCAGCUGUGGGAAAUCUGCAUCAUUCCAUCUCGUGAGGAUAUUGCAGUGUGUCUAAACUGGCCACAACAUGUGUGUAACUGUUUCAGGGAGAGCUGCUUGCAGUGGCCUAAAGGAGGGCCAGGAAGAGAAUAAACCUUCUUUCCAUUUCUCCAAGUUCUUCUGAAAUGCUUGUUUGGCAAUUGUUGAGAAGACAGAAGAAAAGGUCCAGGUGGAGAACUUUCCCAUGUAAUACUUCCUCUGGGUUGCAUUUUCCUUGCUCUUGCUCCACACUUCAGGCUAGGUACAACACAAAUCAAGAUGCUGGGAGAUAGCUACAUGGUUUUGGAGGGGGCCCAGUCAUAAAGAACUUGAUGCAAGAGGAAGAUUUCAUCUUGUAUGCUUAAAAGUGAGUUCUUCAAGACUUGGUUGUGUGAAAAUACAAGGAAGCCUAAACAAGAAAGCACCACGAUUAAAACCCCUCUUUUAAAUGUCUGUCUCAAAUAGAGGAAGAUUGAUUUCACUCCAUGUUCUCUGGAUAGGCCAUUUCUACUAAGAGAAAUGAUUUUACUGAUGAUUUCUACUGAUUAGUUGCUUCUCUGUGGUUGGAUAUAUAUUAAAAGAAAGAUAUAUAUAUAUAUAUAUAAUUAUUGUAUACAAAUAUGUAAGUUUCUGCUCUUUUGUAAUUUACACAGACAACAGAGCCAUGAGCUAUGAAACUAGUACAACACCUAGCAGUAAAAUGCCUACAAUUUGUUAUGCAGUUAAUUUACAAUUUUAGUUCCUUUUUCUUAAGAAAUACAGAUUCCUUUAAAAGUACUUACUUAGCAUUAA